rnacentral:lncRNA from 1 species
GACGCCGCAUGCUCUAAUAAGUAUUUCUUUCCUCCUUAUCAAAAAAAAAAAAAAAAAAGAGAAAUGUAUUUCUCUCCUCUCUAUCCUCUUCCCGCAAAAAUCUUACCGUUGGAUUCCGCAACGGUACCCACAUUUGAAUUUCCCGCGUUCCUGUUCAUCUUUCUCAAACAGUUCUCCUAUUCUUCCUCCUCAUCGCCUGUGUGCGCAGACGAUGACAAUUUCCACCUCCAUAGCUUCGACCCUCAUUCUUUCUACGGUGCUCUUAUCGAUAAUUCCUCCCACAAAAGGCACUUGGGUCAAAUCCAUGCCCUUUUGCUAGUCUCCAGAUUGCAGGAGAGCCGGUUCUUGAUUAACUCAGUGAGAAAUUAGCUCUGCAAAGAAGAUGUUCGAUGAAUUUCCUGACCGGACGUGUUUUUGUGGAAUGCCGUUAUUAUAUGUUAUUCGAGACACAAUUUGUUUGUUGAAGCGCUGGAAGCAUAUUCAAGAAUGCAAGUGGCUUGGGUGGCCCCCAAUGGCUGUACUCCUCCUCUUGUGCUCAAAGCUUGCGUGGCCUUGCCUUCGCUCUUGAUGGGUCCGCGAGUACAUGGUCAGAUAUUUAGUCUCGGGUUUUUAGUCUGUUAUCUCUUUGAUGGGUUGUUUGAUAGAACAAUUGUUUUCCUGGACUUAUAUCAUCUCUGGUCACGCACAGAAUGGUCAGCCUUUGGCAGCUUUGACGGUUUAUUGUCAAAUGAGGAAAACGAAUAUGGAACCGCACUGGAUUGCUCUUGUGAUUUGGAGUUUUUGGAACAAGGAAAAAUUGUUCAUGGUUUCAUGAUUAAGUUGGGCCUUGAACUUGAAUCUGAUUUGCUUAUUUCACUUACAGCCGUGUAAGCAAAAUUUGGGCAAGUGAUGGUUGCGAGAUCAUUGUUUGAUCAGAUGUAGAUAUCAACCAAAUGUGACGUUGCGGAAUGCGAUGAUUUCUGGUUAUGCAAAGAAUGGUUAUGCUGAGGAAGCUGUGAAGCUAUUCCGUGAGAUGAUCUCUAAAUAAUAUUGGAACAGAUUCUACAACUGUCAGCUAUCUUAACUUGAGAACAAGUUGAUCUCUUGCGUUAGCUAAGUGGAUGGAUUAUUAUAUUGGCAAAAGUGAAUAUAGAAAUAAUGUUAUUGUUAACACGGUCCUCAUCGAUAUGUAUGCAAAAUGUGGAAGUGUAGAUUUGGCUCCAAUGUUUUUCGAUAGAACACUUGAUAAAGAUGUUGUCAUGCGGAGUGCCAUGAUUGUGGGAUAUGGAUUGCAUGGUCGGGACCAGAAGCAAUUACUCUUUAUCAAGCAAUGAAACAAGCUAGUGUUCAGCCGAUCGAUGCUACCUUUGUUCUUGCUGCGUGCAAUCAUUCAGGUCUUGGAGAAGAGGGAUGGGUACUGUUUCACCACAUAAGAAAGCAUGGAGUUGAGCCCGCCACCAGCAUUAUGCUCGUGUUGUUGAUCUUCUUGCUCGUGCAGGCUAUUCGAACCAUGCAUUUAAAUUUAUUAUGAACAUGCCAUUGAACCACGGUUAUCUGUGAGGCGCGCACUUCUGAGUGCUUGGAAGAUCCCCAUGCAGCAGUGGGAGAAUAUGCUGCAGACCGUCUGUUCUCAUUGGACCCACACAAUAUAGGGGUUAUCUUCAGCUGUCAAAUCUCUAUGCUUUCGCUAGCUUGUGGGAUUGUAUUGCAAAGAUACGGGGUAUUGAUGAGGGAGAAAAGACUGACAAAAGACCUGGGGUAUAGCCGGAUCGAGAUCAAUGAAAAGCUUCAAGCAUUUGGACGUUGACGCAUUAUAUCCUCUUCCCGCAAAAAUCUUACCGUUGGAUUCCGCAACGGUACCCACAUUUGAAUUUCCCGCGUUCCUGUUCAUCUUUCUCAAACAGUUCUCCUAUUCUUCCUCCUCAUCGCCUGUGUGCGCAGACGAUGACAAUUUCCACCUCCAUAGCUUCGAC